AACGAACGCUGGCGGCAUGCCUAACACAUGCAAGUCGAACGAGACCUUCGGGUCUAGUGGCGCACGGGUGCGUAACGCGUGGGAACCUGCCCUUAGGUUCGGAAUAACUCCCCGAAAGGGGUGCUAAUACCGGAUAAUGUCUUCGGACCAAAGAUUUAUCGCCUUUGGAUGGGCCCGCGUUGGAUUAGCUAGUUGGUAGGGUAAAAGCCUACCAAGGCGACGAUCCAUAGCUGAUCUGAGAGGAUGAUCAGCCACACUGGGACUGAGACACGGCCCAGACUCCUACGGGAGGCAGCAGUGGGGAAUAUUGGACAAUGGGCGAAAGCCUGAUCCAGCAAUGCCGCGUGAGUGAUGAAGGCCUUAGGGUUGUAAAGCUCUUUUACCCGGGAUGAUAAUGAUAGUACCGGGAGAAUAAGCUCCGGCUAACUCCGUG
rnacentral:rRNA from 1 species